UACGAAGGGUGCAAGCGUUACUCGGAAUUACUGGGCGUAAAGGGUGCGUAGGUGGUUUGUUAAGUCUGCUGUGAAAUCCCCGGGCUCAACCUGGGAAUGGCAGUGGAUACUGGCAAGCUAGAGUGCGGUAGAGGGUAGUGGAAGUUCCCGGUGUAGCGGUGAAAUGCGUAGAGAUCGGGAGGAACACCAGUGGCGAAGGCG
rnacentral:rRNA from 1 species